UACAGAGGUCUCAAGCGUUGUUCGGAUUCAUUGGGCGUAAAGGGUGCGUAGGUGGCGCUGUAAGUCGGGUGUGAAAUUUCGGAGCUUAACUCCGAAACUGCAUUCGAUACUGCGGUGCUUGAGGACUGGAGAGGAGACUGGAAUUCAUGGUGUAGCAGUGAAAUGCGUAGAGAUCACGAGGAAGACCAGUGGCGAAGGCGGGUCUCUGGACAGUUCCUGACACUGAGGCACGAAGGCCAGGGGAGCAAACGGG
rnacentral:rRNA from 1 species